rnacentral:rRNA from 1 species
UACGAAGGGUGCAAGCGUUACUCGGAAUUACUGAGCGUAAAGCGUACGUAGGUGGUUUUUUAAGUCCGUUGUGAAAGCCCUGGGCUCAACCUGGGAAUGGCAGUGGAUACUGGAAAGCUAGAGUGCGGUAGAGGGUAGUGGAAUUCCCGGUGUAGCAGUGAAAUGCGUAGAGAUCGGGAGGAACACCAGUGGCGAAGGCGGCUACCUGGACCAGCACUGACACUGAGGCACGAAAGCGUGGGGAGCAAACAGG